rnacentral:lncRNA from 1 species
GCCCAAUGAGUCAAUGACACUAAUAUAAAGUUUUGAUAUACUCCCUCCGUCCCACUAUUGAAGACACACUUUCCUUAUUGGGAUGUCCCAAUAAUAAAGACACACUCCAAAUAAGGAAAGAAUUAGGAGUUAAAUAACACUACUAAUUGCACCUUAAUUCAAGUAUAAAUAAGAAAGAAAAAAAAACCCUAUCUUCAUUCUCACUCUCUCGGCCUCUCCGCCUCUCUCUCUCUCGAAAGUUCUCUCGGCCUCUCCGCCUCUCUCACGCUCUGAAACCCUAAGAUACCGCCGCCCUCAGCCUUCAUCUGCGCCGCCC